CCUCGCCAGCCGCUAAUUACACGUCUCCUAAUGAGGCCGGCGGCUGUUUGCAAUCACUUGGGUCCCCGCCGCUCGGCGCGGGAGGCCGUGGGGGAAUCCGCCCGCGGGGGCGUGGACGGCGGUUGCAGCCCGGGACCGCUAGAUCCGCUGGGCGGAGGCGGGGGUGCGCCCCGGCGGCGUCUGCUACGCAAUGUGCGCCUGGCUCAGUCAGUCUUUGGAAUCAUUAUCAUCCCACUUUACAGAUGAGGAAGGGGGCUGAGGCUCGGAAAAGCGAACUCAGGCGCAAAACUCAAGCUGAAAUAAUCUAAUCCAGUGCUCUUAACACGGUUCUCACCAUCAAUUUGCCCUUUUGGAUCAGGCACAAAACCGAGUAUCAGCUCCAGUAAGGCCUUUAAAGUUUACUUGGAAAGGCAGUGGUUAUCGAGAGACCAGUAACGUGGGCCAGUUAGAUGGCGGUUAGAAGUCCCAUCAGCCCCUGGGCGGCGCCACAGCAGGCCCCUCUCCCAAGCGAGCAACUGUCACCGAGCGACCCUUCAUGGGCUAUUCAGCCAACAGUCAUUGGAGUGGUGGUCCGUCAGGAGGAGAGUAAGAAUGUGAGCUCUGGACUUCCCCGGUGGUCCAGUAGGUGGGAGUCUGCCUGCCAAUGCAGGAGACACAGGUUUGAUCCCAGGUCCAGGAAGAUUCCAGAUGCCGCAGGUCGUGUGCGCCACAACUACUGAGCCCUUGCGCCCUAAAGCCUGAGCUCUGCAACAGCAGAAGCCACUGCAAUGAGAAGCCCACGCACCUCAACUAGAGAGUAGCCUCGUUCGCCACAACCAGAGAAAGCCGGCCUGCAGCAACGUGAAGAUCCCACCCAACCAAAA
ensembl:lncRNA